rnacentral:sRNA from 1 species
AAAAAGAAAAGAAAAAAAGAGAGAGACAAAA